GCUAGAAGGAAACUUCUGACUGACCAUCCAAGGUGAAGAGGAAAGAGAACUGGCUUUAGGUCAGGCAGAACAGGUCCAAACCCUGGCCCUGCCUUGCACCUGAUUAAAGCCUUAUUCCUUGGCAAUAAUCAUCUCAGUGAUUGGCUUUCUGUGAAGCAAGCAACAGGAACUAGAUCGGAACCUGUGGUGUUUUGAUCAUCUUCAUCAUCAUCUUCAGCUGCC